rnacentral:lncRNA from 1 species
AUGCCACAGCUGGAAUCCCCCACAUUCCUCCCUGCCGGGGCUGCCCACCUGGCUGCAGCUGGCAGCAGGUGUGUUCUUACAAUGCAGUUACACAAACACACACAAGGCCUCACAAAGUCUUAUACAUCUUUUGGGUCACGGUCACAGGUGCUCUCAAAAUCAGCCAUAGAAAUGGCACACACAAAGUCACAAAAAGAUACACAGACCACACACACCCAGAGACACUCAGACACACAAGAUCAUCCACGAUCACACCCAGUUAUGUCACACCGAUACCCAAAGACACACACAGGCAUUCCCAAUGCACUAGUGGGACACUUAGGCCAGUCCGCAGCUGCACACAAAGUUCCCACAGACACACACUCACAAGUGCCCUGGCAGCUCAGCCUUGCCAGGGCCGAGGACAGGCAGGCGGCGGGGCUUCCUGUGGCUACUGCUCAUCUGGAGGCAAGAGAAGGAGCUGGGGAAACAUUUCAUUUGCAGCCGGCUGGAGACCCACCCCACCCUCCCUGGAAACCUGGCCCCGGCUCCUGAAUGGGGCCUCUGUAUGCCGCCACCGCCCAGCUGACCAGGGUGUGGGGAUCAGGGGGGUGAGGCCGGCCACACGGAGUCCCUGGCUGAGCUUCAGAAGCCACCCAGCCACAUGCCAGGGCCCUAGCUAGAGUCCCCCAGACCCAAGGAGUCCUCUUCCCCCCUCCCCCCACCACAUCUGGAGGCCACUCCCCAAACCCAGGCUGCACAGGAAGGCAGAGGGGCAAGACAGGGCCCCAGCUGGUGCUGGAUCUCCAGGUGUCCCAUCUCAGGCCUAAGGAUGUCCUCAGACUGGGCAGCCACCAGUCCCCAUGCCAUAAGGCCUCUCAGUCCAGCACAAAGACAUGACACCAUGGCUAUAUGUGACAGCAUAGCUGAGGAUGUAACAGUGUAGCUGUCUGUGACAGUGUAGCUGGGCUCCCAGUGCAGCCUAGGGGUGGGGAUGGGGCAGUCAUAGCCCCUUGGCUCUUGUCAUCACACACUCACUAUCACACACAUAGUGUCACCAUCACACCUUCCAUCACACAGCCACACACAGCCACACUAUCUCAUCUUCAGCCAUACUGUAACACACAACCACACUGUCACACAUGCUGUCACACACAGCCAGGCUGUCACAUCUUCAGCCAGACACAGAGCCACACUGUCAUACCUUCAACCAGCAACACUGUCUGUCACACCCUCAGCCAUGCCGUCACGCACAGAAAUACUGUCACAGCCUCCAUGAUUCUGGUCACAUGUACCUUCAACCACGCUGUCUCACACAUCCUCACACUGGGUGCCCCUGCAGCUCUGCUAGCCACAUGGCCACAUGGAGUCACUACCUGACUGGUCACAAGGAGGGGAAGCAGAUCUGAUCACUUCAUCCCCAGGGUGUAGCAUGCACCUGCCCUGCAAGCAAUGUUUAAACCAACCAGUUGCAACAAUACUGCAACAACACACCCUGAUUGUCACAGAGCAGGUAGCCAGCAGGUACAGGCCACUGCCGAAUUGCUCACAGACAUUCUGAUAACAUGUACUUAGGAUCCCACUGUUGAAGGUAACAGGCACACAUCUCAUACUGCUGUACAAUGCCCAGUCCUUGGGCAGAGGUACAAAGAAGCAGUGGGUGACAGCCACAGCAUGGUUAUAAGACAUCCUGUCACUCUCCCCAGUGCCUGUCACAGGAUUGAGACAGCCCCUUAGCCAUCCCAACAAGCAGCCUGGCACACUGACAUGAUAGACACUAAGAAGUCCUCCAGCCCCCCAAAUCAUGGAGAUGGGGAGAGGCCUGCACUGCUACCUCCCUUUCCCCACUUCAGUUGGUGCCUGGAGAGCAGGGGGGCUAAUGGAUGCGCAGCUGUAGGCAGUGGGUGCCAGCCCCCCACCUCAUGAAUAUUCAUCAGCUGGGGCUCUCGUGAACCUGUGGGGAGUCCGAGGUCCCAGGCAGCUGGGCACCCCCUUCUAUGCCAGGAGGCCCUCAGGUGAGAGGGAGCUCAGCCGAGUCCUGGCAAUCUUUGGAACCCACACCCAGUUACAAACAUAAGCACACAUGUUUGUGAACAUGGACCCCCAGACACACAAAGAACCAUCACACAAACUCACAAUCACACCCUAAAACAGGACCAUCCACCAUCACACACACAGUCAUAGACACGCACACCAGGUAUCCAAACACACUAUCACAUGAACUCACAAUCACAAACACAUAAUCACACUCAAACCACAGACACUCACCGUCUCUGUCUCUCUCACAUCCACCCCUCAGGCAUGCACACACGGACACACGCAGUCACGCAAAUUCACAAGCACACAAUCACAUCCAAACCACAGAUGCCUACCACACAUGCACACACACAGAGCAUACAAACACAGUCACAGGACUGCAAACACAUAGGUACAUCAUCACACCCAAACCACACACUCACCAUCACACACAGGCAUGAAAAUACACACACACACACACACACACACACACAGAAACACACAAGAUCUCUCUCUCUCUGCCCACCCCCUGACGUUUUCCAGAAGGGGAAACUGAGAUACUGAGUAGCUGAAGGCUCCUUGAAGGAGG